CCAAAUUGCAAGGGAGUUCUCGUAAGAGGGCUGAGAGGAGGGUGUAUUCCCUCGACCUCACCUGAUUUGGAUAAUGCCAACGUAGGGAUGCAACGACAAUCUACA
rnacentral:ncRNA from 2 species